UAGAAGGAUCUGAGGUGUUGC
rnacentral:siRNA from 1 species